GUUGUGGCUCAGGGAUAGAGCUCUCGCCUAACACAUGCAAGGCCCUGGGUUCAAUCCUCAGCACAACA
rnacentral:tRNA from 1 species